CUUCCGGCGUGAAGUGAGCUGGCGCGCGGCGUCAGGGCGCGGCUGCGGCGCGGGCAGUUUGUAUCGUGGUUCCGCCCGCUUCGAGACUGGGAGAGGAUCAUGGCUGCUGUUCCUCAAAAUAAUCUACAGGAGCAACUGGAACGUCAUUCAGCCAGAAAACUUAAUAAUAAAUUAAGUCCUUCAAAACCAAAAUCUUCAGGUUUCACUUUUAAAAAGAAAGUAUCUUCAGCCAAUGAUGUGUGUGUAACUAGUGUGUCAGUAGCAAAAGCUCCUGUGUUGAAUGAUAAAGAUGUUAAUAUUACUGAAGCCUUUUCCUUCAGUGAACCUUUUCCCCACACCACAAAUCAGCAGACAAAGAUCAAUGACUUUAAAAAUACUCCAGCUGGACAGCAAACUAAGAGAGUUGGUUCAAAACCGUUAUUGCCAAAUUUGUCACAGGUUCCUCAGGAAGUUUUAUGCACUACCCAGAACACACUGCUUGUAAAGGAAUCCCGCGAUGCUACUUUCAAGAAAUUAGAAUUUAGUUCUUCAUCAGAUUCUCUUAUUACCUUCAGUGAUUGGGAUGAUAUGGAUGACUUUGAUACUUCUGGAGAUUCAAAAGCAUUUGUGACACCACGCCAAAACCACUUCAUAAGAGUAAGCACAGCUCAGAAAUCAAAAAAGUCUAAGAGGAACUUUCUAAAAGCACACCUUGAUAAAACAAAUACAGUAAAGACUGAUUUGACUCCUUCCUCCUCUGAGAGCAAGCAGGCAUUUUUGACUAAGAAACAGAAGGAUGACUCAGAAUGGUUAAAUAGUGAUGUGAUUUGCAUUGAUGAUGACCCCAAUUCCGAAGAGCUUAUAAAUGAAGAUACUCAGGAAAAUCAUCCUUUAAAAACUCAUUUGGGAGAGGAAAGAGAUAAUUGUGAAAAGAAGAAAAACUUGGAAGAAAUGGAAUUACAUUCAGUUGAGAAAUCUUCAUGUGUUGAGCUUGAUGAAGAUGAUUAUGACAUAGAUUUUGUUCCACCUUCUCCAGAAGAAGGAAUGACUUCAACCUCUUCAUCCUCUUUAAAAUACUCUAGUGUGUUGAAGGAUCUUGACACCUCUGACAGCAAGGAUGGUCUUAGCAUAUCAGAAGACUUGUCAAAAUCUGAGAAAAUGACUACAAAGCAGCCUAAUCAAGAAACCAGCACAAGCUAUGAUGCUAGACAGAUAAGUUUACAGCAGCAACUUAUUCGUGUGAUGGACCAUAUCUGUGAAUUAGUUGACACUAUUCCUGAUGACAAGCUGAAAACUUUGGAUUGUGGGAACAAACUGCUCCAGCAGCGGGACAUAAGAAGGAAACUCCUGGCUGAAGCAGAUUUUAAUACGAGUGAUGCCAGUGUUCUUGGCUCAUUGUGGAGAUGCAGGCCUGAUUCACUUGGUAGCUCUGUGAAGGAUACGGCAUCUGUUUCCCCACCUUGUGCAUUUCCAAAGGGUGAUUCCUGUCCUACAGGGAAUUCUGUUAAGGAGUUCACUUUUCCAAACCUUCCCUCAAAUUCCAUUUCUACUGGGGAGUGUUUACUGACUCCUACCCCAGGAAAGACAGGAUUCUCAGCCACCACCAAGAAUCUCUUUGAAAGACCGUUAUUCAAUUCCCAUUUACAGGAGUCCUUUGUAAGUAGCAACUGGGCUGAAACACCAAGGGUUGAAAAAAGAAAUGAAAGCUCUUAUUUCCCAGGAAAUGUUCUCACAAGCACUGCUGUGAAAGAUCAGAAUAAACACACUACCUCUAUGAAUGACUUGGAAAGAGAAAUCCAGGCGUCCUGUGAUAUUGACAGUUUUGACAUAGAUGACUUUGAUGAUGAUGAUGAUGACUGGGAAAAUGUGAUGCAUAAUUUAGCAGCCAGCAAGUCUUCCACAGCUGCCUAUCAACCUAUUAAGGAAGGUUGGCCCGUUAAAUCAGUAUCAGAAAGAAUUUCUUCUUCAGCCAAGACAGACUGUCUUCUGGCAUCUACUGCUCAGAAUAAAAACUUCUCAGAGUCAAUUCAGAAUUACACUGACAAGUCGGAGCAAAGUUUAGCAUCCAGAGAUCUGAAACACGAGCGUUUCCAAAGUCUUAAUUUUCCUCAUACGAAAGAAAUGAUGAAGAUUUUUCAUAAAAAAUUUGGCCUGCAUAAUUUUAGAACUAAUCAGCUAGAGGCGAUCAAUGCUGCACUACUUGGUGAAGACUGUUUUAUCUUAAUGCCCACUGGAGGUGGUAAAAGCUUGUGUUACCAGCUCCCUGCCUGUGUUUCUCCCGGGGUCACUAUUGUCAUUUCUCCCUUGAGAUCACUUAUAAUAGAUCAAGUCCAAAAGCUGACUUCCUUUGAUAUUCCGGCUACAUAUCUGACAGGUGAUAAGACUGACUCAGAAGCUACAAAUAUUUACCUCCAGUUAUCAAAAAAAGACCCGAUUAUAAAACUUCUUUAUGUUACUCCAGAGAAGGUCUGUGCAAGUAACAGACUGAUUUCUACUCUGGAGAAUCUGUAUGAGAGGAAGCUCUUGGCACGUUUUGUUAUUGAUGAAGCACAUUGUGUCAGUCAGUGGGGACAUGAUUUUCGUCCAGAUUACAAAAGAAUGAAUAUGCUUCGCCAGAAGUUUCCCUCUGUUCCAGUGAUGGCUCUUACUGCCACAGCUAAUCCCAGGGUACAGAAGGACAUCCUCACUCAGCUGAAGAUUCUUAGACCUCAGGUGUUUAGCAUGAGCUUCAACAGACAUAAUCUAAAAUACUACGUGUUACCCAAAAAACCAAAAAAGGUGGCAUUUGAUUGCUUAGAAUGGAUCAGAAAGCAUCACCCACAUGACUCAGGGAUAAUUUACUGCCUUUCCAGGCGAGAAUGUGACACAGUGGCUGACACAUUACAGAAAGAUGGUCUCGCUGCUCUGGCGUAUCAUGCUGGCCUCAGUGACUCUGCCAGAGAUGAAGUACAGCACAAGUGGAUUAAUCAGGAUGGCUGCCAGGUUAUCUGUGCGACGAUUGCAUUUGGAAUGGGGAUUGACAAACCUGAUGUGCGAUUUGUGAUCCAUGCAUCCCUCCCUAAAUCCGUGGAGGGUUACUACCAAGAAUCUGGCAGAGCUGGAAGAGAUGGGGAAAUCUCUCACUGCCUGCUCUUCUAUACCUACCACGAUGUGACCAGACUGAAGAGGCUUAUACUAAUGGAAAAAGAUGGAAACCAUCAUACGAAAGAGACUCACUUCAAUAAUUUGUAUAGUAUGGUACAUUACUGUGAAAAUAUAACCGAAUGCAGGAGAAUACAGCUUUUGGCUUACUUUGGCGAAAAGGGAUUUAAUCCUUAUUUUUGUAAGAAAUACCCAGAUGUUUCUUGUGAUAAUUGCUGUAAAACAAAGGAUUAUAAGACAAGAGAUGUGACUGAUGAUGUAAAAAAUAUUGUAAGAUUUGUUCAAGAACACAGUUCAUCACAAGGAACAAGAAAUAUAAAACAUGUAGGUCCUUCUGGGAGAUUUACUAUGAAUAUGCUGGUCGACAUUUUCUUGGGGAGUAAGAGUGCAAAAAUUCAGUCAGGAAUAUUUGGAAAGGGAUCCGCUUAUUCAAGACACAAUGCUGAAAGACUUUUUAAAAAGCUGAUACUUGACAGGAUUUUGGAUGAAGACUUAUAUAUCAAUGCCAAUGAUCAACCAAUUGCAUAUGUGAUGCCUGGAAAUAAAGCCCAACAUGUACUAAAUGGGCAUUUAAAGGUAGACUUUAUGGAAACGGAAAAUUCCAGCAGUGUGAAAAAACAAAAAGCUUUAGUGACAAAGGUAUCUCAGAGGGAAGAGAUGGUUAAGAAAUGUCUUGGAGAGCUUACAGAAGUCUGCAAAUCUCUGGGAAAAGUUUUUGGUGUCCAUUACUUUAAUAUUUUUAAUACUGUCACUCUCAAGAAGCUUGCAGAAUCUUUAUCGUCUGAUCCUGAGGUUUUGCUUCAAAUUGAUGGUGUUACUGAAGACAAACUGGAAAAAUAUGGUGCAGAAGUGAUUCCAAUAUUACAGAAAUAUUCUGAGUGGACAUUACCAGCUGAGGACGAUUCCUCACGGAGAAGCCCCUCCAGCAGCAGAGGCACUGGAAGAAAUGCCCCUGAGGAGCUGGAUGAGGAAACACCCAUAUCUUCUCACUACUUUGCAAAUAAAACCAAAAAUGAAAGAAAGAGGAAAAGGAUGCCAGCCUCCCAAAGGUCUAAGAGGAGAAAAACUGGUUUCGGUGGUUCCAAGACAAAAGGUCCCCAGGAGCAGCCACAGAAAAUGCAAGCAGCCUCCUUCAGUUCAGCCUCCAGCUCCCAGAGAAUGCAACCGUAUCCAUACAGCGUCAUCUUAGGAGGACAGAAGCACACGGACUUUCCCUGAACCAAAACUGGGACCUCUGGCAGCUGAAGACAGAGAUGGUGAUAGCGAAGCCAAUCCAGGCUGGGCGCUGGUAGGGGUCCUCCAUGAGCGCCGAAAUCACCACCACCUGGGAGGAGGGGCGGGGACAAAUCCACAAAGGAGCUCCAGCCUAGGACCCUUCACUGGCCCACCCUCCCCAGGUACAGGUAGGCCUGAGGGUGGGGGCUCGGGCUCUCCCACCCUCGCCGUCACCCCUCUGGAGGGCACAGGAAGGAUUAGAAUCUGACUCUCCAGCUAUAUACAUACCUUCCCCAGCCCCUCUCCCACCAUGAGAACUUGCUCCAGAGAGCUGACAAGUCCUUGCUUAUCUCCAGGGACAGGGAACCCACUAUCUCACUGGAAGAGAGCAAACAUGGAGAGCCCAGUCUAUGCUGAGGGCUGUUCAGGCAUUUUCACACAUAGUAAGUCACUCCUUUAAUCCUUCCACCAGCCCUGGGAAACAGGCACAUAUCAGUCUUUUUUUAUGCAGAAACUAGAGUUCAGAAAGGUUAUGUAAUUGCCCAAAUCCACACAGCUAGGAAAUGGUGGUAAUUAGGGUAACAUACAUCUCAGUUUGCAUCUGCUGCCCAGGUGUAAUAAUUAAGACAGCUCCCUUUCAUUCUUGAAAGUGCUCCAGUUUAGAAGAUAAAUUAUAAGGAAUCCAGGUCUAUGCUCUUUCCCUGAACAAUCCAACCUCCUCUCCCAACCCCAUUUUUCUAGCCAAAGCCCCAGGGGCUGCUUGCUCAAAACUUCAGGCCCCUGGGGCAGGCCCCAGGGACAGAAGCUGCAGAACUAUCAGCCAGCACAGCUAAGCUGUGGUUUUUUAUCCAGAAGAGGAAGUGGAGGCUGUGGUCCAGGCCCUCUUGCUCUUCUUAAGAAACUGCUGCUCCUCCUACAGCUUGGAGCUGCUCUGAGCCCCUAAGGCCCACCCUGUGCUUGGGAGGCUCCCAGAGUCCCCACCCUGGCUCUCCUGCUCUGAGCAGCAGCCUGGGUUGGUGGCAGGGGUGAAUCUCACCCAAGCCUGUGACCCCAUCCUGACAGAGGCCCCUGAGCAGAGGGACAAUGGCCCCUAAGGCCUUUAGUGGAGGCCAGGGUGGAGUCCCCAGGAGGCUCCAGCAGUCACUUCUGACUCAAGGCAGAAAUCACGUCCCCCACGUGGCAUCACAGACAGGAUUUGGAGAAGCAGGUUGGUGGGACGUGCUUGGGGGACCCAAGCCUCUACAGGCCCCUGCUAGGUGCUCCAGGCCAUGGGCCCAGCCCCCGUUUGCUAGGAGUCAAGGGCUCAGUUUCCACAGUUGUGCCAGACACCACCAGAGCUGCUAAGACAAAGACCCCUUGACCUUUAGAAAGCUCCUGCCUUUUAAAAAACACUCACUCUCCUGUUCUCCCCACCCCCAGACCGGCUUUCCUCAGCCAGACCCAUGUUCCAUGUUGGCAAGAGAAGAAGGAAGAAGGAAACAGAAUCCCAUAGAGGUUAGAGUGGGCUGCUGGGCCCCUGUUCUGGUUGCGGGGCAAAGGACAGAACACAGGACAAGAGGCUAGCCGGAAGCCUGAACUUGAGUCCACACAAGCAAGUGGUUCUGAGGAAGGGAGGCAUUUCCCAACCAGGGAGCAGGGCCUGAGGCCGUGUCCCUACUGCCUGCAGGUGUGGGGGAUGGGGUUUUGGUGUCAUCACAGCUUGACUGCAUGGUUCCAGCAUCCCACAGAGAGUUUGGUGAGCAUCAGUAGCCUGGAUGGCCCCUCAGCCUACUCAGGGGGCCUCUGUAUGUCCCUGUGGGUCCCACACACACGGCCUGUCCUGGUCCCACGUAUUCAGCCUCUGCCAGGAGCCUUAAGCUCCCACAGAGGUCAGGCCUCGGCCCCUGCCCAGCUCUGUGUGGGAACAGAGCACACAGGUCGUUGUGUCCCCUCCGCAGGGCAGGUGACUGGACAUCCAGACCCGGUGACCUUCACUGCUCUCCGGACAGGUCUGAAACCCCAGCCUGGAAGGAGGCGUGUUUGAGAAACGAGACCUGCGGCCGGAGUCCCUCUCACGGCUAGCACCCCGAAGCUUCCUCCCCAGCGAGGGGCCCCCAAGCCUCUCGUGACCUGGGGAGCAGGGAUCCCUGCUAACCUCAAGACGGAAGCAUCAACCUCUGCGGCGGCCGUGGUUUGACAGUUACUGCGAGAGCAGGCCUCCCACGCCAGCCCCACGAGCCUACCAUGUGCAGGCCACACGUGCCCCGCCAUGGGGGACCGCCAUCCACUUGUCACCGCCUGGUCCCCGCUCCCAGCCCAGCGGUCCUGCUCCCUUCGCACUCGCUGGGUGACCUUUGCAAGCUCUGUGGCCUUUCUGAGCCUCAACUUCUCAUCUGCACGGUAAACGUAGCCGCUGGCCCUGCCGCCCGAGCUGGUUGCCAGCGCCUCUGGUCAGAUGUCCCACAAAUGUUUGCUGGGCCAAACACAGAGAGCCAGGCAUGGCCCUGGCACUCGGGGAGGUCACAGUCAGGGAGGGAAACAGCGAUCGCUCACCCCGGGGGAAGGAGAGAAGCAGCAUUGGGGUGUGGGGGUGCUGCGGGAGCCCCCAGGGGAGACCUAAUCCAGUCCAGUGGGCACAGGAAAUGAAGUUUGAGCCUUGGAGAAUGAGUAGGAAUUCAGAACACGAGAAGGACACCCCAGGGAACCGCAGGGGUAAAGGCUGGAGGUGUGAUGGAGCUUGGCCUGAGAGGGGACCUCCCCAGGGUUAAGGACGGGCUGCGGGAGGUGGAGAAGCCAUCCCAGAUGGUCCUGGCUGAGGGGCGGGACCUGUCCCCAGGGAAGGCUCUGAAGCCGGAGAGACGUGAUCCAAUUUGCCUUCGAAAAAUUACUCUGACCCCAGGGUCAGAAAAGGAUUGGAGUGGGUGAGGCCGGACGCCAGCAGACAGGCAGGAGGCUCUUGCUCAUCCAGCAAGAGAAGUAGCAGCUCUCAGGGUAGCAAGGUGACAGGAGUCGACAGAUCCCACGGGCCAAGGAGGGGACAUGGGGCAGGGACAGGGGCUGUUGACAUGCUUUGAAGACAUCCCCGAGAGAUAGCGAUCCCACGUCAGGCAGACCGACAGUCCUGGCCCUUUCCAGGUAGGAGGACGCUUUGUUGCCGGAGGGGUCAAUUUGGGAGCCCCUGGUCCAGGCCCCAGUGCAGCCCCCCUGGGGCCCAGGAUCUCCUGCGAUGUGUGGGGUAUGCAUGCGUGUGCGCGUGAGGGUUCUGUCCAGCCCGUGUUGCCUCCUCCGAGCUUGGCAAGUAAAUCCGCAAAGGCCAUACCAACACCCCACAAAAAAAUGCCAACUCUGUGCUAAUUUAUUUUUUAUAUUUAAGAGCAUGUGAUGAAUGCUCUGCUUAUUGACCUAGAAAGUCAUCCACAGCAUGUUUUUGAGAAGCCGAACAGAAUCCUACUCCUUUGCUGUAAAUCCAUGCCACCCUGCUGCCCAGCCUGGGACCCCAGGUCCCUCGUGGGCUGCAGGAAGGGCCAUGUCAUAAGGCACAGCACUCGGCAUUGUAUGUCUCUUAAAUGACAGCUCAGCUCAUUUUUUUUAAAAGGCUACAGAACAACAUGGCUAGUAAAGAUUUUGUCACUUUACAUGUGUGUGUGUGUGUGUGUGUGUGUGUGUGUUUAGAUAGAGAGGGUUGUUCACCAAAAUAUUAACAGUAGUGGAAUUGAGAUGAUUUUUACUUUUCUGAAUUGCUUGACUUUUUACCAAAAAACUCUAUCAUUUUUAUAAUCAGAAUAAAGCAAGGGAGAGCCACUCGGCCACCUUGGGGUUUAGCUUUGCUCCAGAAGGGCUGUGGGGUCAGAGCCCCCAGUGGACUAGGAAUAGGCUGUGGGCCUGGAGCAAGCACCCCCUCCCAGGGCCAGCCCAGGGCCAGGACCAAGCGAGGCCAGCAGGCAUCAGUGGAGUUGAACUUGCACAGGGUGCUGAGGCUGGAGUGGCCCUGUGGCCUCUAGGCUGGGGACCCCAGGGUCUGGCCAUCGCCACUGGGGCCACCCUGCCCAUUCCUGAGCAGAAGGCAACACUUCCCCACCUGGCCACCCUUCUCACUUCCAGGGGACGAGUGCCCUGUGCUGGGUCACCUGCCUAGGUGCCAAUGGGGAGCACAGCAGGAGCUCCAGCUCAAGGAGAGGGUGCUGCACAGGGGAAAGGAGAAGGGGGCCCCAGGUGGCCUGCAAGGACCCCUACCCUACAAGUCCUGCCACUCCCUCCGCAGUCCUUAGCUGAGGUCUGCACUUUGCCCCAGACCGGGGUUCUGGCUGGAAGGACCCAGCACACAGCAGGUGCCUAAUAACAUAUGUUGGAUGAGUGGGUGAAGGGGCCACUAUGAAGGCACCUGCCUAGACGGCCCUCCCCAUGAGAGGAUGAGAGGAUGGGGACGGGGGCCUGGGGCCCACUGGAUCUUAAAAUCCCGCUGCCCACUUGGUACUGCCAGGCCUGUGGGGAGGCUCCCCCCUUACUGCUUCUGUUGGCUUCACCAAGACAAGGGAAAGUUGCCUUCCAGUUGGCCUUAGUAUUCACUUAGAUUUCCUUUUGUAUGUGUGCAUUGAUGCUUUUGAUUAUUAGUGUCUUACUCAUUCUCAGAAAGCUGGCCAAUUUCCCCAUUUACUGAUUUUCUGAAGUCCACUCACGUGUGGGGAAGACCAGAAUGCAUGGAAGACUUGGAAUUCAAACUAAUAAUCGCUACCUGUGCAGAGCUUCAUCCCAGCUGAGAAGGCAGAAGCCUAGAUUUCUGGGAGAAGGGUCACGACUUUCUUCAGAUGGUCAAAGAGACCAGCACCCCUAGAAAGUUAAGAGACCCUGCCUCAGAGAGGCUGAAGAAGGCCUCAGCAGGCUCCCUGGACAGUACAGCUCCUCCCAAGGAGCACACAGGGGCUCCCUGAAACCAAGACCCAGGACUGAGCUAGCUCUGCACGUCCUUACCUGAGAGCCAAGCCUUCUCCAAAGUGAGGAGAGGACUCAACACUACAAAAUGGGGAGAACAAAUUAGGAAUUGUAAACACCAGGCAAAAAAGCCUGAUGACAGUUCGCCAUAAUGACCAGCUGCCUGCAAUCUGGUGGGGGAGACAAGCCUUGGGGAAGAGGAAGGGAGCUGCCCCAUCACAGACCAAGCAGAUGGUGUGCUCGGCAGGGUGGCCGGGACAGCCGGAGGAUCGGGCAUGGAGAGGUGUACAGAGUCCAUGGUGCAGCUCAGACUAAAACAGUCGAAAGAGCUGCAGAACAGGGUUUUUAGGAAGGCAGCAUGAGGACCCAGAGUCUCUGCAGAUCCCGACCUGGGCACCUAAGUCCUGGGAAGAGCUGAAGAGGGGAGUUGGUUUCCAGGAUCUUCAGCCCCUCUCGGCUGGAAGAACCAUUGAGCUUGUCUCCUGGCUCCUCGGCCAGAGUUUCCUGUUCCUGUCCUGGGAUCCUAAGCCUGUGAGACAAGAUGCCCAUUCUAGCUGGCCCUGGACCCAGGCAGCUGAGGGCCCGGCCCAGCCUUGGAAACAGCGGCGUGAACUCUUCCCUUCGUCUGCCGUGGGCGCACACAGAGCAUGUGACAGGCAAGGCCGCAGCCUGAGCCCCUGCUCCUCCCUGCCCGCGGCUCCCCCACCUUCCUGAACCCACCCGGCCUCUGAUCUGCACGCCCACAGUUCCCACUGGGCAGAACCUGAAAGUCACAUUCCCCUCUGUCGGACACCUACUCUGUGUACCAGGUGCUCACCUCACCUGCGAGGGCGAGCUCAUUAAACAAAGUGGCCAUGCCGAUUGUCUGCUCCCUGACCGCCGGUGAGGAAAGACUGCUUCAAUGGCGGUGUCAGAAGAGGCAAUGGAUCCCACUGCAGAAGUGCAUUCAACUCCCCUGCAGACACACUAAUCAGGAGGUGACACAGAGCCGCGCAGUCCCCAGUUUCCAUACACAUCGAUGCCUGGCAACUAGCAUGUUUUCGUUUUACUCCAGCUGCCUCCACCCUUCGUAAGUGGAGGCUGAAAAACCAGCCCAUUUCGGCAACUCCUGACCGUCUGCUCCGGUGAGAAUCUGGGUCAUCCCACCCGCUGCUCACUGCCAGGUGCUGAUGGCAAGCCUCCGGGCCUUUGCUUGUGUGUCCCUCUGCCUGGGGAGCCUCCUGCUAUUAUCCUUUUAGAAAGAGGUAGAAUCGUGACUGUCACACAUAUAUAAAAAUGAACAGGUG